GACUCUAUCUUAUAAAAAGCUGAGGUUGUGCUGGGGGAGAGCAAGACGCACCUUCAGCGUGCUCGGAAACGUCUCGUUGGAAGGAUGAAGCUCUGGGCAAUUUGUGGCUUUUUGUUUCUCUGUCUUUUGUGCCUCAAUGUCUUUUCUGCAGAAGGUCAGAAGAUGAGAAGACGCUGCUGUUCAAAAUCAUCCAAAGUCAACAAAAAUCCACAUAAAGCUAUAGGUUUUAAAGGUACUCCAGUGGAAGCAAGGAAACCGUGCAAGCCUUGUCGUCCGCGAGACCAUGGAGUGUUUUCUGGACCACUUCCACAGCUGAAAUAAGCAGACUGAGAGGAGGGGGAAAAGCAUCUGCCGACAUGCACAACCAACAGUGCUUCACUAUCCUGAAGACCCUCCUUCCAAGUGCUAGUAAUCCACUUGGAAGUAAAUUUCUACAAAUGAUAAAAAUCUCAUCAUAUACAAAGGGCUGAGAAAAUUGAUAAGCAUGUUAUUAAAAUAAUGGUGAUGAGCCAGAUUCAAGUAAGCUUUUCAAUAUGUCUUCUGAGGGGGCUAAAUCUGACUUUAAAAUCAAAGUGGCCUGGUUUUAACUUCCUUAAGAGUGUCAUCAGGUGGUUAUUGAAGAGCAUGCUGGAAAGAUAUUAAACCUAAUCAGAUUUCAUCUGUUCCUCUAAAGCCAGAAGGCAGCUGUUCUUUCAAGACAGCAGAGUUGUGUGAUCACCUCAAUAAACAAAGCUUACUGGAGCAUGAAAUAAAUGCUAAGAAUAAUACCAAAGGGCUGAAUAACAGAGAAACUGAAGCACCCGCUGAUACUUUAGCUGUGUAUCUUCUGUCCUUUUCUAACUGUCCUCUGCAUUGCUGCUAUUUCUCUGCCUGGGGGAGAGUCCUUAAAACUGAAUUACUUGCUUGUUCAUAAAUUCAGUUCUCCUUCUAGUGAAUAUGAGGAGGAGUAGAAACCUUUGCUGCUGGGUAAAUUGCAGAUUGCAAAUAGUAAUUUUUCUGUCAGUACUCAUAGUACUACUCUUUCUCUUAACAUAAUUGUCAGUAUGAUAGAAAUGGUUUCGGUGCCCUUCACAAUUUGGGGGAGUUGAAUGGGAACAGUCAGAGGUCUGUUGUAACUCACACAGGCAAAUGCAAUUCCAAAAGGUCAGGUUUAUGGGCACUUGCUCAGGGUCUGCUCUUACUGAGAAUGUUUCUAUUGUACUGAGCAAUUGAACCUAUUUCUGGCUCUUUUGUGUGCUUGCUAUUACUUUAUUUUCCUAUUGGUUUUCAGAGUAGGUAGAUCUGACACUCAGCUUCCUAUUUUUGAAUGCCUGACCAUACAUAGCAUUUUUUUAUAUCAAGGAUAAAGCAACUGCCAGUCUUCCUUGCAAGACCUCUGAAUCAGGAGGUUGGUGAAGGAACUGUGUUUCAUUGCUUGGUUGCUGGUGAGGGGGCCAACAUAUUUUAUCUCUAUUGUUUUGUGGAGCUUGCAGAAAGAAUCUGUAGAAUAUAAAUGACAACUAAAUGUAAAAGCCAUUUUUGGUAUUGUUUGCAGCAGGAUUUUUCUCUGUAAAAUAUGGCCAAGUGUUUACAGCUCUGUAUAGAGCUUCACUAACAGGUCUGAAGAUUCUGUUCUCUAAUAUGAGUUUAAGCCCUUUUCUUUUACAUCUGAAAAAUGCUCCAAGAUUUUCCUCUUUGCCUUACACCCUCCAAACAGCAUGCUCCAAACUCUCCAACCCUCCUCCAAGCAAAAUGUUCCCUCUGAUAAGAAAAUCAGAAGCCCCAGAGACCAUUAACGCAAUUCUUACAGAAAUACUCUAUGCAGGCACACGGUUUGUGGUGGUUGGGGUGGGGCUGGGCAGAGCCUCAUCCCCAGUGGGCACAGCUGUGAGCAGCAGGGGAGCAGCACUGGCAGCAAUGAGCCAUGGAGUGCCCAGGGGCACUGACCAACCACCAAAGGGAGCAGAGGCCACACAGGGGCAGGGCAUCAACAGGAGGGGAUAAAAGGCUGGGCUGAAGAAGAGGAAGGGCAGAUGCUUGCAGCCUUCUGAAGUGAAAUGAUGUUACUGUGUGUGGGCAGACACCUGAGGCCUUCUGCUGUGGUAAGGUGUUCCUGCGUAUGGGUGAAUGCCUAAAGCCUUCUGAAAUUGUAUGGUGGCUGUCUUGACUGCAGCAUGUGCUGUGACAACUCUGGAUCUCUGGAGAGAUCCCAGCAUAUAAUUUAAUGUACUUUAGUAUUUUUACUCACUAAGUUUCCCAGGCUGGCCUCAAUCCCUGGUUGGGGGCUAUUCCAGCUAAAGAUGUUGCUUGUCUGAAGUCCUGGCCUUGGCUGGGCAGAACAUCCAAAUAAUUUCAGCAUGGAUUGUGACUGCUGCCCAAAUGCUUUGUUGCUUCAUAUAGAGGUAUCAGAAUGUUGUUUGUCCUCUUGAAAGUAAUUCCUCAGCAGAGUUUGACUCUUAUGUACCAGGCCAUUUCCCCGUGUGGUACAACAGAGCUACCAUCUGAUCAUGGUUUCACUUACAGGCAUCUGUUCUUCCUCUUUAUUUUCCUUUCACUUCUACAUGUAUUUGUCUGGCAUUACCAAAGAGAAACAUAUUUGCUCAGUGGCUUUUCAAAAUACACAAGCUGUAUGCUUAUAUAAAGUAAAUUUAUC